GCUGGGUGCUGCAGGCGGAUGGGCAGAGCUGUGCUGAUGUGGACGAGUGCUCCCUGGAGUACAGCCCCUGCAGCCAGCUGUGCAGCAACAGCCCAGGCGCUUUCAGCUGCGCCUGCCUCCAGGGCUACACCCUGUGGCACGGCACCGCUUGUGAAGUGGCAGACAACGGGACACAGAUUCUGGUGGCUGUGGGGCAGGACCUGGCCCUUCUGGAUGUGCGGACCCAAGCCUACCGGCCCCUGCUCUCCACUGAGACUGAACCCCGUGCCCUGGUGUACGACCUGCUCCGAGAAACCUACUACUGGCUGA
rnacentral:lncRNA from 1 species